GAGGAUAUAGCUCAGUGGUAGAGGGUAUGCCGAGUGUGCACAGGGUCCUGGGUUCAAUUCCCAGUACCUCU
rnacentral:tRNA from 1 species